rnacentral:lncRNA from 10 species
GCAAAGAUAAUGAAAAGCUCCCCAAAAUGUCGGCGACGGCUCCUCUCUCCCUGGGAGUUGGGAGCACAGGGAUUUUUAUUUGUCUUCCUCUGCACAUUCUUUUUGGUAUUUUCCACCUUUUCUACAGGGAACACAUAUGACAUCUGAAACCAAAGGAAAACAAUAAAUGUCAUUUCUGAAAGAAAGGAAAUGUUCGCAGAGGGGAACAAAAGCUGGCAGGGCUGCA